rnacentral:rRNA from 1 species
UACAGAGGGUGCGAGCGUUGUCCGGAAUCACUGGGCGUAAAGGGCGCGUAGGUGGCGAUCCAAGUCCAUGGUGAAAGCUCGAUGCUCAACAUCGAGUCGGCCACGGAUACUGGGUUGCUCGAGCACUGUAGGGGCAGAUGGAAUUCCGGGUGUAGCGGUGGAAUGCGUAGAGAUCCGGAAGAACACCGGUGGCGAAGGCGGCCUGCUGGGCAGUUGCUGACACUGAGGCGCGACAGCGUGGGGAGCAAACAGG